GAGCAGAAGAGUAGGAGGAGGAGAAGAUGGUUCUCUGGGUUUAUAAGGAAGAUGCAGCGAUUCAUCUGUCCUUUCUAUCCUGCGGAUAUGUCUGCUGAAGGAUUCAGGGGGCUGGUGACCUUAAUUAACCCUUUAACAGGUCACCCAUGGAGUCCCAUUCUGUCUGCUUGCUAUGAAUCAUUGAGGAGGAGGAGGAGGACAAGGAGAAGAAAUCCUGGGCUAGACUAAGGGCGGGUCGCGCCUCCCCCGCGACCGUCCCGACAUGAGAACACUACACAUCGGGUGCGGCCUUCACUAGGGAGUAACGCAACAGUGGUGCUGCCUACCGCAGGUACAAGGCCGAUGCGUCGUGUUCCCAUACCGGGCCAGCAGGGGGUGACGUGUGCAGAGCCAGUGCUGCAGAAAUGCAGUGACCUCGAAACAACUAACCAAAACUCAUACUACAGAAGCAAACCACAAAAGCCAAAACUACUUUCCACUUCCCUUUUUCCCUUUGGCUUCUGGUGGUCUGCGUGCUUGGUUAGGUGGGCUUGAGGGAGGGGCCUGCUGAUAAACACAAUCCCAUAAUAGAUUCAUCCAAAAAGGCUGUACGCAACAUUUACUGUAAAAAAACAAUGAAACUGUGAAAAUAAAAACUGUAAACACAUGCAACUUUAACAUGUUUUGUCCAGUGUCUGUUGUUUUCUAUGUGUUGUUUAUUCCAUAUUAUAAACCGAGUGGUUUGAGUCUUGAAUGCUGAUUGGCUGAAAGCUGUGGUAUAUCAGACCUUAUACCAUGGGUAUGACAAAAAAUGACUAUUUACUGUUCUAAUUACGUUGGUAAGAAGUGUAUGAUAGCAAUAAGGCACCUUGUGGGAUUGUGCUAAAUUGACAAUUUACCACCCCUCCUCGUGCCUUAUUGCUUAAUUGUAUCCUUUCACCAAAAUAUAGUAUGUUUGAAUUCGAUGUAUUGUUAGGUUGACCAAAUGAGUCUUCCCCUCAUCGGCCCUACUAGUAUUAGUUCAAUUCAAACAUAAGAAUGGUUUAUAUUAAUUGUUAUAGUAGGUUUAGUUUUGAUAGGAGUUUUAGUGCCAAUGAUGUUACAGACAGGAGAACAACAGAGACAUAACAGUACAAUAACAUACAUAUAACUAUGAGAACUGUCAUUUGCUCAAUAUGGGCACAAGGUCACUAGCCAUUAGCAGAUAUAAGGUGCACUAGUGGGUGGGUGCCAGCUGGGUAGUCAAGAGUGACAAAAGCCUAGUUUACAUUUAGUAACAUCUGUAGUUUUAGAGACAUCAUGAGACUCGAGGCUCAUGCACCCCACUGGUGUGACUUUUCAAAUAUGUCCAGGGGAAAUAAAUGAUAACAAAGGAAUGCAAAGUACAAUUACACAAUAUUUGAUAAUAACAUAAUAUUAAUCAUCAGAUAAUGUACAGAGUAAUUUUUUAAAGACAAUAGUGUGUGUGUGUGUGUGUGUGUGUGUGUGUGUGUGUGUGUGUGUGCGUGCGCACAUUUAGUAUGCACUGGGCUCAGUCGCACUUCACUGAGACACACCCCUUUCUUCUUUCCCAUCUGUUUUGUUUUCCAGAAAAGUGGGUCUGAGUUUCACUUCACAGGGGAGGUGGAGACUCAGGUUUUGUUGCUACCCUGCAGUAUAAAAUCCACCCACUGCUCGCUCUGCUCAGUCCUGCAGUCCCCUGCUGAAAGCCAUUAUGACGACCACAGAUGAGCAGGAUGAAGAGGAAGAUGAUGAUUAUGACGAAAAGUAUGAAGAUUAUAAGUAUAAUUACUUUUUAUAGUGUACAGUCAGUCUACUCCCAAGGGUAGCACACCGGGUUUCUUUGGCCCUGCAUACUGCACGAAUACUGUAGACCAUGUGUGGGGGGUGGAACCGGUGGGCAGAAGUCCAUCUGAGGCACUGAAACAGGCCUUAAAACUAGGAGGUGGAACUCCUUCCAGAUGAGGAAGGACUUAAACUUGAACAAAACAGACAAUCACUAUCACAAUGCUAUGUGAAGGUACUUGAAGGGAUUUCUGAGUGGCUCAGAACAUAUCAGGGUUGCUUCUUUGGCUAAUGGUUAGGAUUGCAUAACUUACUAUAUGAGGAUAUUAUGGUUGUAGAUAUCUUUUCAAUAAUGUAAGAUAUGUAGAUGCAUCUAACCUCCAAACCCAGGAUCUCUCCUGAAAUGAAGCCAGAAGUCUAAACUCCCAUCUUCUGCUGUGUGUCAUGCAAAAAAGCAUCACAAACCGCUGAAAGGCACAAAAGAGAGCCACUAGGAGACAGGAGGGCAGAGUUCCACCUGAGGUACUGAAGAUAAGACAAGAUGUCUACCAGGCCUUAAAGGGAGAAGCGGCGCCUACCAGAUGAGGAAGGAGGACUUAAGCCUUGAAACCUUGAAGCGAGAAGACUCUCACAAUAUGAAGGCAGUUUAUUAUGCUAAUCAUAACAUGAUUAACAUAAUACAUAAUUUCUGUUGUACCUUAAACAUAUGGACAUACUGUAUGUUCAACUAACGCUAUGUGAAGCAAAGUGUCUCAGAAAAUUUCAGGGUAGCUGCUUGCCCAAAAUGGUCAGGAUUGCAUAAUUUCCUAUAUGAGGAUAUUAUAGUGGUAGCUCUUUUCAAUAAUGUAAGCUAUGCAUCUAACUGAUAAAUGAGGAAAAAGUCCUUCUAUACUUCAAGUGAGAAGGCACUCACAAUGUGAAAGCAUACAGUUACAGGGUAUAAAUAACAUAAUAAAAUAGUAUGUUUAUUAUCAAACCAUGUUUACUUGUGCUGUUGUAACCGAUGUGAAAUGGCUAGCUAGUAAGCGUGGUGCGCGCUAAUAGCGUUUCAAUCGUAACAUCACUUGCUCUGAGACCUUGAAGUAGUUGUUCCCCUUGCUCGGCUUUUGUGGAGCGAUGUGUAACGAUGCUUCAAGGGUGACUGUUGUCUAUGUGUGCAGAGGGUCCCUGAUUCGAGCCCAUGUAGGGGCAAAGAGAGGGAUGGAAGCUAUACUGUUACACUGUUCUACUUUUAACAUAGGGACUAUGUUAAACGAUAUCUAUAAGGAUUUCUGUCGCUUGGUUUUGUGGCUAAAGGGAACAUUUGAGGGUAGUUGUUCAGGAUAAAAUGGUUAUGAUUGCCUAUAUUUUCAUAAUGUAAUAUGAACAUAAUUUAGGGUGAUUACAUAUGUUCAUAUAUAAUGUAUAUGUAGAUACAACUAACUAUCAAAACCAAGUUAACAUCUCCCUUCUCUUGGAGCCACAUGUUGAAUGUCCCUUCUUGUGUUUUACUUGUUUUGAAAUAAAUGUUUUCUUUCAUUCUAA